AUGCCUAUCUUUCAAUGGAUGCUUAUGAGAUCCAUUUCAAUGUUUGAAAUAAUGGUAACAUAUUAAUUGGUAAGUAAUUGGAUAACUAUUUAGACGGAGAUGAUAUGACUUCUUAUUAAAUGAAUGUGGUACUUGCCUUGAGCAUUUCAUACACAUUAUAUUAGUUAUCUUCUGCCAUGUAAUUCAAAUGAAUUUUCUAGUAGUUGUUGCAAAAUUGACACUAUCACACAAGAAAAUGAUUUUAGGCGGCCUGACAAACCAUUGCGACAGAUCUGAUGGAGAAAGGUUCCAAAUGCAUUGGUUUUGUUUUCCAUAGAGAACAGAUUUUGAAUAGACAGUCAUAUUUUGAAGGUAUGUAUGUAUGUUUACUUUUUGUUGUCUAUAAGUAGAUAAAUUUUCACCUUUUUCAAAAUUAAAAUUGAUAAUUGAAAACAUCCUUUGGUCAAGCGAAUUUCAUCAAAAGACAUAUUAGUUAAUAGCCGAGGCCUUUGCUCAAAGAGUUCAGAUGAGAUAAUAUAGUUCAAAUAAGAGUAUAAAUUUUAAAUCAUAAGGGGUCAACAGAACUUGCUCUAUAUAUCUUUAUCAAUUUAGAAGGACUUCCAAUGAUCCAAUGUUCCACACAAUGUAUAUGUGUGUAUCUAUAGUAAUAAUCGAUUUCAGAAAUUAAAUUCCUGAAAUAUAUCUUGCACAUAAGUACCUAACUUAUCUUUGAGAUAUGACAGCUCAAAUUGCCUGGUAUAUGUGUGUUUCUAUAGUAAUUAUCGAUUUCAGGAAGUAAAUCGCUUACUGGGAGCAGGGGUUGUUUCAGAUAGUUCAUAUUGAUAUAUUCUGACUAUACUUGUUUGCCGCAGAGUUUUGGUUAACAGUUCCAAUUCUUUAAUGUCUUAAAUUUAUUUCCCUAUAUCUUUUCCCAAUUUAACUACAUAUCCCGCAAUAGAUACUCUAAUGAAGGAAUUAUUUGGAAAUUUUACCCUUUUCCUGUAAAAACAAGGAACAAUUCUUCAAGAAUUUUUUGCCAUUUUUUUGUCAUAGGGACUCACUCUGGCGGGGUGUGAGCAUCGCUCAGGUGUGCAGCAUCCUUAAAAGGGUGAUCUUGGGGGGUAUUGUCUGUGCUAGCGCGGAGGUCAAGGCCGGUCAGCGUGUGAAGCCCGCCUAAGGGCGGCCAGGCAAUGCUACUGGGGGAUCCUGAGCUCCAUGGAUCCGUUGCAGCUGAGGACUUGUACACAGCGCCAGGGAAGAAAUGGGGGUAUUCCGAAAAUUUCAAUUAUAUUUCGGUGAAGUUUCACUGUUUCAGUCUGGUAGUGCUAUAUCUUACCCCAGUUGAAGGUGACAACUGGUUAAAUCAAUAUUAUAACCUUUCCUUUUUUUCACCACAGAUGCACAGUCUGGGAAUUUCCUGAUCUGGUUUUGGCGUGGUUGGUGGUUGUUCCAAGUAUUCUGGGAGAACUGGAUGUUCUCACCGGUGCAGCUAUUAACAUCUAGCAGCGAAGAGGGCAUUCAGACCAGAUUGUUCGUGACACCUUCUGGCUAUGCUGUGUCCUUGCCUGGGAGUUACCAAACAUUGCAUCUUUCUUUUUCUUUUGCUUUCUUUCAUUCAACCUGUCUAGUGUUUUGAGAGUAGAGUUUCAGCUUAUUAAAUGCUAUAAUUUACGUUUUUUUUUAUAUUAAGUAUGAAAAGAAUAAGCAAAAAUUCCAAAGCUCUACUUUGAAUUUUUUUGGGGAGGAAGGGAGAUAUGUAACGGUUGAACGUUACAUUAUUUAUAAUAACUGAAUUUAUCAUAAAUAUGAGCCCCCUAUCUAGUGACCAAGAGUAAAACAAUAAUAAUGAUUUCGUAUCUGCCAGAGCAUCUUGCGGAAGAUAGCCGAAUCAUCAAUCAAUGAAACCUACAACACUUAUAUUUUUACAGAACGCAAUUUCAAGUUCGCGUCAGUAGGUAGAAUAAAAUAUGUAUGAACGAAUUCAAUAUUUCUCAAAGGGACUGGUGGGCCCGCUCGCUUACUUUUUGACGAUGGUCGAAGCAACAUCAAUUGAUGAAUUGAUCACUUGAAUUGAUUGCGUUGUUUGAAUAUAUCGAUCUAAUCUUCCUUUUUCCGUUUUUGAUGAAGUGUUCAUUGUUUGAACUGAGUAACAGCAUUUGGCUGCAUGACUAGUGAAGUUCCAAAAGGAUCGCAAAUUAUAUUGUCCGGAAUAGAAGCUGAAGGUUGUUCCUGCUGGGAAAAUAUAUAUAUUAGAGAUAUAUAUAUUAGAUAAUUAAGGCUGGAGACGAUUAUGGUUAUAGUUUCCAAGGGAUACAAGGGUGAACAUAUCAGCCCUACUGAGAUCCCCAACCAGUAACUGGUCUUCAAGGUCGAUGCUCCGUUCUCAAAAAGGUACAAGGGUGAAUAUAGAAGCCCUAUAUAUUGAACGCUGACGAAUACAAGACAACCUACACCGAACUGGGUGCAGUCUACUAUUGUAAGAACUAACAGGUACCUCUGUAAAUAUUGUAUUGCAUUUAUGUACAAUUCAUUGUUAUGAUUGCAUAUUUAUUUUAUUAUAUUUCAUAU
rnacentral:lncRNA from 1 species